GAUGAAGAACGCAGCGAAAUGCGAUAAGUAAUGUGAAUUGCAGAACUCAGUGAAUCAUCGAAUCUUUGAACGCACAUUGCGCCCCCUGGCUUUCCGGGGGGCAUGCCUGUUCGAGCGUCAUUGCUGCCCUCAAGCACGGCUUGUGUGUUGGGCCUCCGUCCUCCUCCCGGGGGACGGGCCCGAAAGGCAGCGGCGGCACCGCGUCCGGUCCUCGAGCGUAUGGGGCUUCGUCACCCGCUCUUGUAGGCCCGGCCGGCGCUUGCCGACACAUCAAUCUUUUUUCCAGGUUGACCUCGGAUCAGGUAGGGAUACCCGCUGAACUUAAGCAUAUCAAUAAGCGGAGGA
rnacentral:misc_RNA from 1 species